CCAAAAACCAACAAUAACAACAAAAUAAAAACAAACAAAUAAAUAGGUAAGACCCAAUCACUGCCUUCAAGAGCUCUAUGGGUUGGGGGGCUGAUGGGUGAGCAGCUAGGAAAGAAUUGGUGCAUUCAGUCCGUGCAAGGAGUAGGGAGCAUGGCUGGGCAUCCCCUCCCUGGAAGGAGAACGCGGCUGAUUGACCACUGGGCCUCCUGGGCCUGCGGUAGCUCACGCUUCUCAUAAAGGACACCCCAACAGCGUUAACAACUUCUGAGGCCGGAGCUGGUGCCAGUGGACAGAGCUUGUCAGCAGCCACAGAGCCAAGUGGAGCAGGGAGAAGUCUGACUGUGGAACGGAGCCUGAGCCCGUAGACCUGUGCCUUGCGCACAGAGAAAACUUGCCAUUUCGCAGCACCGCCCCACACAACCGCUUGCCAAUUGCUUUCCUAUGGAGGCGGUGAGACCUUGGGGCAAUGCAAUGCAAUGAACUGAAUGCUUGUGUCUCCCCAAAGUUUGUAUGUUGAAAUCCUAAUCCCCAAUGUGAUGGUAUUAGGAAGUGGGACCUUUGGGAGGUGAUUUGGUCAUGAAUGGGAUCAGUGCCCUUACAAAAGGGGCCCAGUGGCUGGGAGCAGUGGCUAACGCCUGUAAUCGUAGCACUUUGGGAGGCCGAGAGGGGCGGAUUGCCUGAGCUCAGGAGCUCGAGACCAACCUGGGCAACACGGUGAAACUCGGUCUGUACUAAAAUACAAAAAAUCAGCCAGGCGUGGUGGCGGGCGCCUGUAAUCCCAGCUGCAGCAGGAGAACCGCUUGAAACCAGAAGGCAGAGGAUGCAGUGAGCCCAGGCCGCGCCACCGCACUCCAGCCUGGGUGACAGAGCAAGACUCCCUCUCAACAAAAAAAGAAAAGAAAAGGGGCCCAGAGAGUACUUCCUA
rnacentral:lncRNA from 1 species